UACGGAGGAUCCAAGCGUUAUCCGGAUUUAUUGGGUUUAAAGGGUGCGCAGGCGGGAGAUUAAGUCGGUGGUGAAAUUUUGCAGCUCAACUGUAAAAGUGCCAUUGAUACUGGUUUUCUUGAGUGUAGAUGAAGUAGGCGGAAUUUGUGGUGUAGCGGUGAAAUGCAUAGAUAUCACGAGGAACUCCGAUUGCGCAGGCAGCUUACUAAACUAUAACUGACGCUCAGGCACGAAGGCGUGGGGAUCAAACAGGAUUAGAUACCCGU
rnacentral:rRNA from 1 species